rnacentral:rRNA from 1 species
GAUGAACGCUGGCGGCGUGCCUAAGACAUGCAAGUCGAGUGGGUUUAGACCCACGGCGAACGGGUGAGUAAUACCUAGGAACUUCCCUUUAGUUGAGCAUAACCCAUCGAAAGGUGGGAUAAUUCUCGAUGUGACCGCAAGGUUAAAGUCGCAAGACGCUAAAGAAAAGGCCUGGGCACCAUCAGCUAGUUGGUAAGGUAAAAGCUUACCAAGGCUAUGACGGUUAGGGGCCCCGAGAGGGGAAACCUCCACACUGGAACUGCGACACGGUCCAGACUCCUACGGGAGGCAGCAGUUUGGAAUUUUGGACAAUGGGCGAAAGCCUGAUCCAGCGACGCCGCGUGGACGAUGAAGGCCUUCGGGUUGUAAAGUCCUUUUGCUAGGGAAGAAUUUUUGACUGUACCUAGCGAAUAAGAGGUUGCUAACUCUGUGCCAGCCGCCGCGGUAAUU